rnacentral:lncRNA from 1 species
CGGCACAGGGGGCGGUUCCGGGGGAGCGGUUCAGCCAAGAUGGGACCGCGAGAGAACCUUAGGCCGGUGACGCUAGCUGGCAACCAGAGCGACCGGGAAGACUCGGAGUUUCUCGCGACCUCGAAGCAGAAGAGUUCGCGGGAGCUGGGCAGAUCCAGAACCAACGAAACGUGCGUUUCGUGGUAGAACUUGGGAGAUCACGACGCAAUCUGCGCGCGCGUUGGUCUUCGCGCGGUGUACAAAACACCUGCAGAAAGAGGGUCGACGGCUACGGGGCCGCUUCGGGGUGUACGUACACCAGAAAAACAGAGGAAAACGUGCCUGCGAUCUGACGAGAAGACGCUCUCCAUGCGCCUCUCUCCCCUGUAUUUGUCUUUAGCUUCCAACGGUAUUCUCUUCACCCGCAAGUCUCCGUGCCACAUCACCCCCUGUUGAGCCGCCCCCUCUCCUGCCUGUGAACCUGCUUUCCGUGACUGCCUCACACACGCCGAAAAGAUUAUCUCGGCGCUUGCCUUCUUUUCGCUUCGUCUGCCUUCAGCAUUCUUCUUCUCUCUCUCUGCGGGGGGCCACGAAGUGUCUCUCAGAGGCACUCCACGUCUUGCCGCAGCAGCGAGUCUUUGCAUUCCCUGAGAUGUGCGACUGUGCCGCUCUCUGUUGUGCUGUUGCACGGUUUCAUUUUAGAACCGCG